GACGAACGCUGGCGGCGCGCCUAACACAUGCAAGUCGAACGAGCGAGAGAGAGCUUGCUUUCUCGAGCGAGUGGCGAACGGGUGAGUAACGCGUGAGGAACCUGCCUCAAAGAGGGGGACAACAGUUGGAAACGACUGCUAAUACCGCAUAAGCCCACGGCUCGGCAUCGAGCAGGGGGAAAAGGAGCAAUCCGCUUUGAGAUGGCCUCGCGUCCGAUUAGCUAGUUGGUGAGGUAACGGCCCACCAAGGCGACGAUCGGUAGCCGGACUGAGAGGUUGAACGGCCACAUUGGGACUGAGACACGGCCCAGACUCCUACGGGAGGCAGCAGUGGGGAAUAUUGCACAAUGGGGGAAACCCUGAUGCAGCGACGCCGCGUGGAGGAAGAAGGUCUUCGGAUUGUAAACUCCUGUUGUUGGGGAAGAUAAUGACGGUACCCAACAAGGAAGUGAUGGCUAACUACGUG
rnacentral:rRNA from 1 species